CAGGGGAGCGGCGGACGGGUGAGUAACACGUGGGAAUUUUCCUCAAGGUACGGAACAACUCAGGGAAACUUGGGCUAAUACCGUAUGAUGCAGAGAUGCCAAAGAUUUAUCGCCUUGGGAUAAGCCCGCGUCAGAUUAGGUAGUUGGUGGGGUAAUGGCCUACCAAGCCUGUGAUCUGUAGCUGGUCUGAGAGGACGAUCAGCCACAUUGGGACUGAGACACGGCCCAAACUCCUACGGGAGGCAGCAGUGGGGAAUCUUGCGCAAUGGACGAAAGUCUGACGCAGCCAUGCCGCGUGAAUGAUGAAGGUCUUAGGAUUGUAAAGUUCUUUAGCCUGUGACGAUGAUGACGGUAACAGGAGAAUAAGCCCCGGCUAACUUCGUGCCAGCAGCCGCGGUAAUACGAAGGGGGCUAGCGUUGUUCGGAAUUACUGGGCGUAAAGCGCGCGUAGGCGGUUUUACAAGCCAGAGGUGAAAUGCCUGAGCUCAACUUAGGAAUUGCCUUUGGAACUGUAUGGCUUUGAGGACGAGAGAGGCGAGUGGAAUUCCCAGUGUAGAGGUGAAAUUCGUAGAUAUUGGGAAGAACACCGGUGGCGAAGGCGGCUCACUGGCUCGUUUCUGACGCUGUAGCGCGGAAGCGUGGGGAUCAAACAGGAUUAGAUACCCUGGUAGCCCACGCUGUAAACGAUGAGUGCUAGGCGUCGGCACGCUUGCGUGUCGGUGCCGCAGCUAACGCGUGAAGCACUCCGCCUG
rnacentral:rRNA from 1 species